rnacentral:rRNA from 1 species
UACAGGGGGUGCUAGCGUUGUUCGGAAUUACUGGGCGUAAAGCGCGCGCCGGCGGUCCUUUAAGUCUGAUGUGAAAGCCCACGGCUCAACCGUGGAGGGUCAUUGGAAACUGGGGGACUUGAGUGCAGAAGAGGAAAGCGGAAUUCCACGUGUAACGGUGAAAUGCGUAGAGAUGUGGAGGAACACCAGUGGCGAAGGCGGCUUUCUGGUCUGUAACUGACGCUGAGGCGCGAAAGCGUGGGGAGCAAACAGG